rnacentral:rRNA from 1 species
CACGUAGGCGGACUAUUAAGUCAGGGGUGAAAUCCCGGGGCUCAACCCCGGAACUGCCUUUGAUACUGGUAGUCUCGAGUCCAGAAGAGGUGAGUGGAAUUCCGAGUGUAGAGGUGAAAUUCGUAGAUAUUCGGAGGAACACCAGUGGCGAAGGCGGCUCACUGGUCUGGUACUGACGCUGAGGUGCGAAAGCGUGGGGAGCAAACA